UUCUUUGCGGAUCGUUGAGCUUCUUGUUCUUCUUCUUCAGAUUAAGGAUGAAGCUCGGUUCGUUCUUCCUCCUCAUAUCCUCUGCGUU